UGAGACUCAUCUGUGUAUUGGCUGUGCCC
rnacentral:piRNA from 1 species